AAGGCCACUUUCAAUAUUUCUACUUUUUGUCUGGCAGAGGGGCCUCUGGGCAUACUUAUUCACCAGGACCAGGGUGUUAACUGCUUAUUCAGAACCCCAUGUAGCCACUACACAUCUGUAGUUUAGCAUAACACAUUAAAAACGCUUACAGAAUGUUAAAGCUAUUAGGCCUCAUUCUCAGGAUCUAAUAGCUAACUGAUAGCUACAUUGGAAUACUAGAAGGACAUCCAUUACUAUGGUUCUGUGAUUUUUUUUUUUUUUAUAGUAAAUAUAAAUAAAUAAAUAAAAACAGUUCUGCAACUUGCCAGUAGGUGGCAGGACAUGUCAAAUUUACACUAAAUGAAACUGAACUGAUUAUCAUAGAAAUUAAUGAAACCAUAGGAAUCAGCUUCAUAAAACAAAAUCACCUGCCUCAUAUUGUGUCAGCCCCCUCUUAGGGCUCCUUCACAUUAAUGUCAGUCCCUGUUAAUUAAUGCCGUUCUCAAAUCUGUUCUUGCCUUUUGCAGAUGGCUUGCAAACAGCUGUAAACAGAUCCCAUUGAUGUCAAUGGGAUUUUUUUUACAGUCCUUCGUCACCCGUUUGCACUCAUUUGGUUCCUAUUCCGUUAUUUUUAAUUAAGAAAAGAUGUUGCAUGCAGUAUUUUUUUCUCUGUCAAGAAUUACAGAUUAGAAGUUUAUGACAAACGGAUGAGCCUGUAAAUUCAUCUGUUUGUGUUUGUUUUGUUUUUUUCAAUCAGUUGUUUUAUCGGUAUUUACUUCUGAGCAUGCUCAGAAGAGGUGUGAGCAAUCAGGAAGUAGCCAGGCAAAAAUAAAAACUGACAAUGAAGGAUACAAAAAAAAUUAAAAACUGAUGCAACAGGAUGCCACUUAAUGGCAUCACUUUGCAUUAGUUUGCAUCCGUUUUUUAGUAUGGUCCAGCUGGAAGAAGUGCAUUCAGCGUGAAGCCAGCCAGCAGUUGCCUCUGAGCGCCCUGCAGCGGGUCUGACACCAGAGACGUCCGUGAGAGCCGACACAGCCGAGUCGUUCCAAUGAAGCCUAGCGACGCCAUGAAGACUUCCAAUUGUCUCCUGUCAAGACCUGUCUACCUCCAGGGCCACGUUCUGGAAAUUGUCUGAAUUCUAGCAGUUGGACCCCUUUGACAUGACACAUAUACCCCAUCAUGUGGAUGUUAUUUCAACUUGGAGUACCCCUUUAACUGAUAUUUACAAACAAUUCGUAGUAUCUCAUACAAAAGAAAGACGAUAUAGUUCACUGCUACGACUUCAACCUCCAGGGACUUCCAUCAGCAGAUCACUUCUAGUCCAGCUGGCCAAUUCAGCGUGAACAUAUUCUGCAGCACUGCGAGAAAUGUGAUGGGAUUCAUAGUACAAGCUGCUUUUCUCUAGGCUACAGACCCCCUCUGAUGUUGCACACUUUCUCAGAUGUCACACACUUUCUCUGCAGAGAGCAGGAGAGGGACAUUAACUGCUGGAAACCUUGGGGGACCUUUAAUAAAACCUGUGCAGAUGGAAUGUGGAGCAGAUGCCUAUAGCAACUAAUCAAAAGCUACUUUAAAAGUUCUAGCAAUUUACUGUUUCUGACCGGAAGAAGCGUCCGCCAGUGACGCGAAACUAGUCGUUUGGUGUACGCCCCCUGCAUUGAGAGCGGCGUCUCUCGUGCUCCCCGCUUACAUUGAAGUCUGUCACCGUUUGUGUAAAGCUCCGAAAUAAAGAAGAUUUUAACCGUACUUGGUGAGUGAGUGCAGCAUUCUCUUCUAACGCUUCAGUGCAUUUAUUGAAGAUACAUUUGGAUACUUCUGUCUUUUUCAUUGAACACUAGCACCCACACCUUCAGUGGACUUGUUCACCCUUCGCAUGAGAUACAUUGUUCCAUAGCACACAGAGUGGGAGAUUGAUACAAUUAAGUAACUGAUCCGAUAUUUUGUACUGCAGUGCCUACUUCACACUUGUGUAUAGACUAUCAAUGGAAAAAGUCUUGCUGUCUUGUAUGCUUCAUAGUAUACAGGCUAUUAAUCAUGGUAU